CCUACGGGAGGCAGCAGUGAGGAAUAUUGGUCAAUGGGCGAGAGUCUGAACCAGCCAAGUAGCGUGAAGGAUGACUGCCCUACGGGUUGUAAACUUCUUUUAUAUGGGAAUAAAGCGAGGCACGUGUGGCUUUUUGUAUGUACUUUAUGAAUAAGGAUCGGCUAACUCCGUGCCAGCAGCCGCGGUAAUACGGAGGAUCCGAGCGUUAUCCGGAUUUAUUGGGUUUAAAGGGAGCGUAGAUGGGUUGUUAAGUCAGUUGUGAAAGUUUGCGGCUCAACCGUAAAAUUGCAAUUGAUACUGGCAGCCUUGAGUACAGUUGAGGUAGGCGGAAUUCGUGGUGUAGCGGUGAAAUGCUUAGAUAUCACGAAGAACUCCGAUUGCGAAGGCAGCCUACUAAACUGCCACUGACAUUGAUGCUCGAAAGUGUGGGUAUCAAACAGGAUUAGAUACCCCAGUAGUC
rnacentral:rRNA from 1 species